CCUACGGGUGGCUGCAGUGGGGAAUAUUGCGCAAUGGGCGAAAGCCUGACGCAGCGACGCCGCGUGAGGGAUGAAGGUCUUCGGAUCGUAAACCUCUGUCAGCAGGGAAGAACGGUCACUGUGCUAAUCAGCAGUGAAUUGACGGUACCUGCAAAGGAAGCACCGGCUAACUCCGUGCCAACAGCUGCGGGAAAAGGGGGGGUGCGAGCGGUAAUCGGAAUUACUGGGCGUAAAGCGCUCGUAGGGGGGAUGUCAAGUCAAGGGUGAAAUCCCCGGGCUCAACGUGGGAACUGCCUUUGAAACUGGCAAACUGGAGUGUGUGAGAGGGUAGUGGAAUUCCCGGUGUAGGAGUGAAAUCCGUAGAUAUCUGGAGGAACAUCAGUGGCGAAGGCGACUAUCUGGCACAUAACUGACGCUGAGGAGCGAAAGCGUGGGUAGCAAACAGGAUUAGAUACCCCAGUAGUC
rnacentral:rRNA from 1 species